CACAGUGGAGGUGGAACAGGUUUAAUGAUGGCGGCUUUUGGACCGGCCCCCAGUUGUCUGUCUCCCAUCCGGGAUGCUGGAUUUGCGGUCGGUAGGCUGCAGCUCAGGGAAAGGAUCCUGUUUGAGGUCAGCUGGUCCAGUCGGUCAGCAGCUGGCACUGAGGGAGCCUCAGGUGAGAGCUUUCAGUUUUGGUUGGGGGCAGUCCGCCUGGUUUUGCAGCCCAGCUGUAGUUUGUUCUGUUCCAUAAGAUUAAAGAACUCCACUCAUCAACGUCUGCUUUGGGAUACCAGGCUGUCAAAUGCGGGCAGUUGCCAGUCACCAGGUCAUCCAGUCAGGAGCGUAGUUUCGGUCACUUGCAACCAUGGGAGUCUUAACUGAUGAAAUGGCUCAUGCAAAUCCUUGGCCACCGAGAGAAAAAGGACUCAAAGGGCAUGUUCUAUGGACGUGGAUGAGAAGAUUGAAGUUCAGGAAGCCUCCUCGCACCUUAGUAUGUGAUCAAAGCUUGUUCCUCAGGACUUCGGUGGUCGUCCAGUGGUUGGGAAUCAGCCUGCCAAUGCAGGGAACACGGGUUUGAUCCCUGGCCCAGGUAUAUCCCGCAUGCCGUGGAGUAGCUAAACCUGUGCGACACAUCUGCUGAAGCCCACGCCCUCUAGAGCCUGAGCUCCUCCACAAGAGAAGUCCACUCUCCUCUGCAACUAGAGAGUAGUGCCCACUUGCUGCAAUUAGAGAAGCCCUGCGUGCGGCAACAAAGAUCCAGCCCAGCCAAAAAGUUAAAUUAAAUAAAUAGUUUUUAAAAGCUUAUUCCUUAAAUUGGGAGCUUGAGAUUGACAUACACACAGUGCCAAAAUAAAACAGAUAACUAAUAAGGACCUACAGUAUA